rnacentral:rRNA from 1 species
UACGGAGGGUGCAAGCGUUUAAUCGGAAUUACUGGGCGUAAAGCGUGCGUAGGCGGUUCGUUAAGUCUGUUGUGAAAGCCCCGGGCUCAACCUGGGAAUGGCAAUGGAUACUGGCGAGCUAGAGUGUGUCAGAGGAUGGUGGAAUUCCCGGUGUAGCGGUGCAAUGCGUAGAGAUCGGGAGGAACAUCAGUGGCGAAGGCGGCCAUCUGGGACAACACUGACGCUGAGGCACGAAAGCGUGGGGAGCAAACAGG